rnacentral:misc_RNA from 1 species
UAUGAAGAACGUAGCGAAAUGCGAUAAGUAAUGUGAAUUGCAGAAUUCAGUGAAUCAUCGAAUCUUUGAACGCACAUUGCGCCCGCCAGUAUUCUGGCGGGCAUGCCUGUUCGAGCGUCAUUUCAACCAUCAAGCCCCCGGCUUGUGUUGGGGACCUGCGGCUGCCGCAGGCCCUGAAAAGCAGUGGCGGGCUCGCUGUCACACCGAGCGUAGUAGCAUACAUCUCGCUCUGGGCGUGCUGCGGGUUCCGGCCGUUAAACCACCUUCAUAACCCAAGGUUGACCUCGGAUCAGGUAGGAAGACCCGCUGAACUUAAGCAUAUCAAUAAGCGGAGGA